rnacentral:sRNA from 1 species
GUUUCAAAAAAUAAAUACAUUCUUAAUAGGUAUUGAAAAUAAAACAGGUGCUAAACUAUAGAUAUUUAUCAAUAUAACCAAUAAUAUGGUGAUAUAGAGAUUGUUGUGGUGGUAUACCUUUUUUAGUAUAGUAGCAUCGAAUAAUGAACCUCAUCAUUUUUUUUUCAAAAUAGAGUACUCUAUGUAUACUAUGAAAAUUUGAGUAGUGAUGAUUAACUCCAUAAAAUUGUGUCUAUCGUGUGCCACACAUCUAUUCAAAGCUUAAAAACAACUAUUAUUUUGAUCACCUUCACUUUAUGUGUCCUUUUCUAAAGGGUAUCAAGCAUGAACAAUAGAGUUUGCCACAACGUCAUAAGUAUAGUAGGGUAUCAAACUUAACCGCCAAAAAUGCAAAUGCUACAACACUCUCCUUUGAGCAUACCUCCCACUGAAAUGGCUGAGUUGAGGUGACCCCAAUAUACGAAUACAAUUCUCCAUGAGGCUGUGAUAGUAAAUUAGACAUUAAAAUUAUGCUCCUGGAUGGGUUUUAGGGGUACGACUACAUCGAUGAGGGACUCAUCUUUCAACUCAACAGAGAAAGAAAGUCUUGGUGGCUACGAUCGGCUUCACCCGUUAGAUGGGCAUUCAUGUUUAUCUUUAACGGUGUUAUUUCAUUAAUUGGUAUAAGUGGUAUUUUUAAAAUAUUUAUAUAUGGAUUCGGAAAUAAGUGAAACAUGAACACUUAGAUAAGUAGUGAAUGUUUUAGUGUAUCAAUGAUGUAUUAGGCUUAUUUUAUUGGUACAUAUCCAGUUUUAUCUAUUUAUAGAUACACAACUUUUAAAACAAUAAUAAUAAGUCGUGGUGACAAUAGGAGAAUUUAUAAGUAAUCGGGACAAACUGAUUUUCUUUUAAUCUUGGAGACAUUCUUAUCAUUUACAAAGUAUAUUAAAGUCAGUUUAUCUCACAAUAUAAAAAAACAUGACAUCUUUUAGCAUUAUUUCAUAAAUCAUAGAACAAUAAAUAAGAUGCCCGCGCAUCUGCGCGGGCUUCCUUCCUAGUUAUAUACUAAAAGUCCAUUAAACUUUCUACAAACGCUCAUAAGCCGCCACGUGGCGUCCUACAAACGUUCCUAGGCCGCCACAUGGCAUUAUCAAAUCUUACCAUCGAUUUUCACAUAAAUUGGUGGACCCGCCAUUUUACACCAUUGGAUUAGAUCUAUUAUUAAAAAAUAAUAACUUUCUCUUUGUAUGAUUUAAGCACUACUAUUGUUGCCAUGUACGUACAAGUUGAUACGAUGCAAACCACGUCCUUCUCCCGUGCGUACUUACCUACACAAAAACAAAACAAAUAGUUUACGUACUGUUCACUGGAAAGAAAAGAAAAAACAGUACGCACAUACAUAGAAAAGACAAUAAAAUAAUACAUCAUAGAAAUCGAUGAUCUGUUUUCUAAAAAACUACAGCACAAAUAUAAAUAUAUAUAGUUAAACUAAGAUCUAUAAUAAUAAUAUAAAAUAUCCAAUCAUUAACUACAUUUUAAAAGUAAAAUAAAUGUAUUUCUUUGGGUCAUAUGCUGCUAGCGACUACCUAUUGGUCACACAAUACAAUUAGAUUUUUAAACCAUAUGAUUGGCAACAUUUAGCUUAUAUUAGUAAAUACAACACCAAACACAUUUUCUAAUAGAUCUAAAAUUAUAUCUAUAUUUUAAAAAUAGAUAACUAAAGACUAGAAUCCGUUGGAAUAUGUCUCACAAAAAAAAUCUCUGCCUCUCGUCCUGCUAUACAUAUACUUCCUCUGAUCUCUCGUCUUAUAUUUUUUAUCUAACAACCUAAUAUUAAAAAAAAUAGCUAAAUGGCUUAUAAUUUCUAAAAUUAUAUUUGAUUUUUUUCAUUUAUUUUAACUAUUGUUUUAUUUAAAAUUAAUUGAAUAAUUCAAUAUCCAUUAUAGUUGUAUUUUACUAUAUAAAAAUUAAAAUACUCCUUUGCAUGGAAACUGAAUGAAAAUAAAAAAUUAUAAUAGAAUGAAAACAUGUAUUAUUCACAUUAAAUCAGUCUACGUAAUAAAAACCAAUUAAACACCUUUAGAGCACACUUAAGUCACCACAUGUCACAUUUUAAAAUUAUAAAAUAUUUCAAUUAAAUUCAUGGACCCAUUAUUUUCAACCAUUAAAUUAAAUUUACGAAAAAUCUUACGCCGCCACAUGUGUUGUCCUGAAAAUCAUAAAUAAUCUUAGAAAUUUUGAGAAAAAAAUUAAACCUGUUAUCAUUGGUUUUAAGUUACAUUAUUUGGAUAAGUUAUAAAAAUAAAUCGCAUCUACCUCCUCGCCCCCUUCACAUGCGUGAAGACCACUAUUAAUCACAUCCCUAUUUUUGGGUAGGAGUAAGCUAAAAGAGAAAUAAUUAAUAUAUUAAAACAACCAUAUUUUUUAAGCUACGUCUGAUUUCUAAUAUAAUUGUUGCUCUGUUUAUAAUUAAACUAGGAAUUUAAGAUUCGUAUAUUUAUAUUUUCCUAUGUACAAAAUAUGACAUUCAACCACAUUCAUCUCGCGUGCUUUGCAUACUAUCCAAAUAUGAUUGAAAUACCUUAAACAAAUUUGUUGCACAUAUUACAUCACUAUACAUCAUUCUGUAAACAUAUAUAGCUAAAUUAAAUCAAUAGUUAUCCAAACAAAAAUUUCAAAGUGAACUAUGAAACAUUUUUUUAUUAAGGAAGAACAUCCUUGCCCUUUUACAUGUCAUUUGAAUUGCUGUAAAAGAAUUACGAAAUAAUCCAAUACAGGUUGCAUCAUCAUAUGUUGUUUGUCAAACAUGCAUAGCUAAAUUAGAUAUACACUAUCUAAGCAAAUAAGACUAACUAAAAUAUGAAGUCCAAACCACCAAUGCAUCGAAAAUCCAAUGGCUUUAGUUAGAGAAUAUAUGAUUACUUCAUUAUUUUUUUAAAAAAUGUGCUAAUAUUAUCCAAGCAAGCUAAAUAAUCUUUCGUGUAUCUGCUCUAAACUAUGUUACCAUCUAAUUGACUUUAGAUGGUGCUUAAUGCACUUUUAGUAUAUCAUUGAUAUAUGUUCAAGCGUGUUGUUCUGGCCUUCUAAGCAUUUCGGGUAAUUCCGUUUACUUUCUUUGUGCAUAGACCAUUCAAAAGGUGAAUCAUCCCUAUAUAUGAACAUUAAUUGUCUGCAAAUAUAUUUUUGUUGUAUAUAUAUCCUUUAAUGAUUAACUUUGGAGUCCAUUUAGAUUUUUCGAUAUAACAAGACAUAGAAAUAAGAGUAACUAAGCUUGACCAAAAAAGUGAUCACAACUACGAUGAAUCACAAGACAACCUUCAUAGGUGCAAUGACCACAUAUCAACACGGUGACUAGGAGCUGCAUGAAAAUCAUAUGGCAGGGGAAAAGGAACGAUGAAUUUAGCUGUCUUACGUUUUCACCAUCAGGGCCAAAAGCAUUCAUC